rnacentral:rRNA from 1 species
UACGUAGGGUGCGAGCGUUGUCCGGAUUUAUUGGGCGUAAAGAGCUCGUAGGCGGCUUGUCACGUCGGGUGUGAAAGACCGGGGCUUAACCCCGGUUCUGCUUUCGGUACGGGCAUGCUGGAGUGUGGCAGGGGAGACUGGAAUUCCUGGUGUAGCGGUGGAAUGCGCAGAUAUCAGGAGGAACACCGGUGGCGAAGGCGGGUCUCUGGGCCAUUACUGACGCUGAGGAGCGAAAGCGUGGGGAGCGAACAGG